CCUUGCACCAGGAUACAAAGAUGACUGGCCACGGAUUUGGACACGCAGUUCACCAGGACUUCACGUGCGGCGGCACUCAGGCACCAGCAACAGUGUCCGCACACGGCUACUCGCGGGCUCAACAUUCUCGUGGGUGCCCGAAACGCGGCAGGCAUCCCGGGAUCCUUCCUUCUCGCGGCUGCCCCGUUCCGGCGUUCCUUUGGCACGGUUGGCCACGCGCCUUUGUCAACGGAACAGCGGACAGCGUAAAGCACCGCCAGCGAGUCAGCCCAAGACAUUCUGGUCGCGGAUCUGCUGGUGCAAUCUCGGCGUGGCUUCUCGCUGCAUCUGGAGCAACAAACACGAUGACCCACAGGAGGCGGAAAGAGCUCGCAGCUGGCACAGCGUGUCAUCGAAGGCGAUCUCUACACCAGCCCCGUGUUGCC
rnacentral:lncRNA from 1 species